GGAAUAUUGGUCAAUGGGCGGGAGCCUGAACCAGCCAAGCCGCGUGAAGGAGGAAGGCGCCAGGCGUCGUAAACUUCUUUUGUCGGGGAACAAAGGGCGCCACGCGUGGCGUUGUGAGUGUACCCGAAGAAAAAGCAUCGGCUAACUCCGUGCCAGCAGCCGCGGUAAUACGGAGGAUGCGAGCGUUAUCCGGAUUUAUUGGGUUUAAAGGGUGCGUAGGCGGGAUGCCAAGUCAGCGGUCAAAUACGGGGGCUCAACCUGCGUCCGCCGUUGAAACUGGCGUUCUUGAGUGGGCGAGAAGUACGCGGAAUGCGUGGUGUAGCGGUGAAAUGCAUAGAUAUCACGCAGAACCCCGAUUGCGAAGGCAGCGUACCGGCGCCCUACUGACGCUGAAGCACGAAAGCGUGGGUAUCGAACAG
rnacentral:rRNA from 1 species